UUUUUCCUCAAGUAUUAGACAACUGUAGAAGAUGUAUUCCAUAAUUCAACAUCAGUCGUUCACCUUCAACGCAAAAGGCUCUCUUGGUCUGUUCAAGAUUAUAACUCUGUUCAAGUUGUGGAUCUUGUUCAGCAGUUAGUUCGAUUAUGGUUCAGUAUUUUUUUUCUGUAUCCUUUUGUUAACCAGCCGAGUAUGGUCUGGUUAUUGUUGAUCCUGUGUUGGAUCUUGUUAUUUCACAUUUCUUUCUAUGAUCAACAGAUAUUUUAUCUGUUGAUCCUGUAUUUCGUAUUUGUUGUUUUAGAUCUUACAUAAGUAAGAUCUAGGGUUUGGGGGGUGUUUUUGGUUUGGGUUAAAUAAUAAAGUUUUACGUCAUAUUUUGUCGC
rnacentral:lncRNA from 1 species